UGCUGCACCACCAGGACAGAUGCUGAAGUUGUAAAACCAUUUGAAGUCAAGAGGUUGCCUACAGGACCCAGCUCAGGGUACUCGGCCUUUUCGGUCAAAGCAGCAGCUACAGGACCCACAGGCAUUCGACCAACAACAAACAGAUUGCAGCGACUGAACUCCUUAACUAUUUCAACAAUUUCUUUAGCACUAUUCACUGGUCUCUCUUCAAAUUUUAUGGAGUUGUUAUCUGAACUCUUCUUGAAGCUAGCUAGAAAUGUUUUAUCAGCUGAUUCUGAUGAAAUACUGGAUUCAUCAGUUAUAUCAACUUUGACCAUCUGCCCCAUAAUAUCAUUGCUUGGUAUGAAGUGAACGAUAAUUAAACUGAUUCCAGGGUGCUCAG
rnacentral:misc_RNA from 1 species